rnacentral:rRNA from 1 species
AGAGUUUGAUCCUGGCUCAGGAUGAACGCUAGCGGCAGGCCUAACACAUGCAAGUCGAGGGGUAACAGGAAAGCUUGCUUUUGCUGACGACCGGCGCACGGGUGCGUAACGCGUAUGCAACCUACCUCAUACAGGAGGACAGCCCUUGGAAACGAGGAUUAAUACUCCAUGGCAUCAUGAAUUCGCAUGUUUUUAUGAUUAAAGUAUUACGGUAUGAGAUGGGCAUGCGUCCCAUUAGCUAGUUGGUGGGGUAACGGCUCACCAAGGCGACGAUGGGUAGGGGGCCUGAGAGGGUGGUCCCCCACACUGGUACUGAGACACGGACCAGACUCCUACGGGAGGCAGCAGUGAGGAAUAUUGGUCAAUGGAGGCAACUCUGAACCAGCCAUGCCGCGUGAAGGAUGACGGCCCUAUGGGUUGUAAACUUCUUUUAUAGAGGAAGAAACUUGCCUACGUGUAGGCAACUGACGGUACUCUACGAAUAAGGAUCGGCUAACUCCGUGCCAGCAGCCGCGGUAAUACGGAGGAUCCAAGCGUUAUCCGGAUUCAUUGGGUUUAAAGGGUCCGUAGCGGGUCUUUAA